rnacentral:rRNA from 1 species
CUGGCCGUAAACGAUGGAUACUAGGUGUAAGUGGUAUCGACCCCACUUGUGCCGCAGCUAACGCAUUAAGUAUCCCGCCUGGGGAGUACGGCCGCAAGGUUGAAACUCAAAGGAAUUGACGGGGGCCCGCACAAGCGGUGGAGCAUGUGGUUUAAUUCGUUACUAACCGAAGAACCUUACCCAGGCUUGACAUCCCCGGACAGCCCAUGAAAGUGGGUCUCCUCCCCGAAAGGGGAGGCUGGGUGACAGGUGU